rnacentral:rRNA from 1 species
UACGGAGGAUUCGAGCGUUAUCCGGAUUUAUUGGGUUUAAAGGGUGCGUAGGCGGUUUGAUAAGUUAGAGGUGAAAUACCGGGGCUUAACUCCGGAACUGCCUCUAAUACUGUCAGGCUAGAGAGUAGUUGCGGUAGGCGGAAUGUGUGGUGUAGCGGUGAAAUGCAUAGAUAUCGCGCAGAACUCCGAUUGCGAAGGCAGCAUGCCGGCUCCACACUGACGCUGAGGCACGAAAGCGUGGGUAUCGAACAGG